rnacentral:rRNA from 1 species
UACGUAGGGUGCAAGCGUUGUCCGGAAUUAUUGGGCGUAAAGAGCUCGUAGGCGGCUUGUCGCGUCGGCUGUGAAAACCUGGGGCUCAACCCCGGGCCUGCAGCCGAUACGGGCAGGCGUAGAGUUCGGUAGGGGAGACGUGGAAUUCCUGGUGUAGCGGUGGAAAUGACGCAGAUAUCAGGAGGAACACCGGUGGCGAAGGCGGCUCUCUGGACCUCUGCUGACGCUGAGGCGCGAAAGCGUGGGGGAGCGAUCCGG